rnacentral:rRNA from 1 species
CCGCGGUAUCCUAACCGUGCAAAGGUAGCGUAAUCACUUGUCCCCUAAAUAGAGACCAGUAUGAACGGCUAAAUGAGGACAAAUCUGUCUCCUAUGAUCAAUCAGUGAAACUGAUCUUUCAGUACAAAAGCUGAAAUAUCCACAUAAGACGAGAAGACCCUGUGGAGCUUAAGACACACUAUCAACCAUUAAACUGGUCUGAUAAAUAGUCUUAAGUUGGGGCAACUUCGGAACAAAACAGAACUUCCGAGCACAGAAGCACCCUUCUAAUCAAGGCCUACAAGCCAAAACAAACAGACCCAGUCAUACUGAUCAACGAACCAAGUUACCCCAGGGAUAACAGCGCUAUCUUCUUCAAGAGUCCCUAUCGACAAGAAGGUUUACGACCUCGAUGUUGGAU